GACGAACGCUGGCGGCGUGCUUAACACAUGCAAGUCGAACGGUGACGAGGAGCUUGCUCCUCCGAUCAGUGGCGAACGGGUGAGUAACACGUGAGUAACCUGCCCCAGACUCUGGAAUAACAGUUGGAAACAGCUGCUAAUACCGGAUACGAGACGGAGAGGCAUCUCUACCGUCUGGAAAGUUUUUCGGUCUGGGAUGGACUCGCGGCCUAUCAGCUUGUUGGUGAGGUAAUGGCUCACCAAGGCGACGACGGGUAGCCGGCCUGAGAGGGCGACCGGCCACACUGGGGCUGAGACACGGCCCAGACUCCUACGGGAGGCAGCAGUGGGAAUAUUGGCACAAUGGGCGAAAGCCUGAUGCAGCAACGCCGCGU
rnacentral:rRNA from 1 species